rnacentral:sRNA from 1 species
CACUCGGCCAGGCGCCGGCGACCUGAGGGGAGAGGGAGCGCAGCUGAAAGCGUGAACUGUGAGAUGCUUUUGACAAGUUAUAAUAAGGGAGAGAUGGUAGUAAAGGAAGUGAAGAAGCGACGUGAAAUUGAAGGAAAAGAAAAUGACCUGCCUCCUUACCGCGGUUGGAAUACACACCCAAACGAGAGGUAGCAGAGAAGCAAGCAGUGCAUUCUGUUAAAAAUUAUUGUGUCCUCAUUUGAGAGAGGAGGGAUCCUCAAAUAAUACAACUAUGUGCAAAGCAGGAAGUGAAAUCCUUCUCAGUCCUCUCCCCAGUUGUAAUCCAAGCCUUCCACAUCUUUCCUGUAUGUGCAUAACCAUGUUAUUUUGCUUUCUUAUGAAAAUGAGAUUAUGCAUACUGUUCGAUAAUCUGUUUCAGAUUAAAUAU